UCCUUUUCUUUUUUUUUCGUUUUUCUGUUUCUUUUUUCCUUUUCAAGGUUAUUUUAUCUUUUUUAAACUAAGUUCAUGUUCGAAAAAUGUUCUUAAAUGUAGAAAAACGUUCUUGCCUUUAAGAAAAUGUUCCAAAUUUAGAGAAGGUUGUUUCUGAAAAAAUAUUCUUAGUUUCUAAAAAUGUUCGUGAUUUUUAGAAAAUGUUCCUCUUUUCAUAAAUGUUGCAAAUGCUUUUUAUUCAAAAUUUUCGAAAAAUGUUCGGGUGUUAAAAUAUGUUCAUGAUUUUCAAUAAAUAUUCAUGAUUUCAAAAAAUGCUUUUGUUGAAAUUUUAGAAAAAAUUUCUUCCUUUAAAAAUUUGUUCGCAUUUUAAAAAAAAUCAUGUUUGAAAAAAAUGUUUUUGCGUUUCAUAAAGUUAUUCGUGUUUUUCUUUUUUAAAAAAUAAAUAAAUGUUUGGCUUUUAAUAGAACUCCGAAUUUUCAGUAUUUGUUUGCCUUUUCUAUAAUAUGUUCAACACUACGAAAUAUGUUCCCUUUUUCAAAAAAAAUCUCAAAUUAGAAAAAUGGUAGUAGCCCAAUGGUUGCCUUUUCUAUAACAGGCGCAAGUCAUUAAAGGCGGACUGAAGCGCAAUAAGCGAGAUAUGGGGAGUAGCCCAAUGGUUGCGGUCGGAGUGACACGUCCACCAAACAGAGUUCGAAUCCCGAUGGGAGUCGAAUAUCUUGCAUUUCUCGCUAAGGAGGCCUUAUAAAUAAAUUGCCAUUCCAAUUUUUUUUUAUCCGUCCGCAAUUACCUCAUCCUCCUCUGCCCCCGAUUCCUUCUCUCCUCGCAGCAGCCUCCGCCCCCUUCUCAAAGCUCCGCCAUCCCCGUCCUGUACUCCCUUGGAAAAGAUCGAUUUUUUUCGACGGGAGGAGUCAUUCCGGUUUGAUCCGUCCUGUACUCCCUUGGAAAAGAUCGAUUUUUUAAGACGGGAGGAGUCAUUCCGGCUUGAUCCGGUGGUGGCGAUGCCGGCCAGAUCCUGCGACGGCGCCGACGCGAGCCACCAAGGGCCGUGGACUCCCUCUCUGGCUGCGCUUCCGCCAAACCCUAGCGGCUCGGCGUCCCGGCGACCAUCUCCGAGGUGGUUUCUUUCUGCAGUAGCCAGCCCAUGGAGAAGGCCCGGACAAAUUCUCGGAGCAGUACGCCCGCCGCUCCAGCACCUUUCCUCACCGCCGUCGUCAUUCAAGAGUUGCUUGAUAUGUCGUUCAAGUCCAUCACAGCUGCUUGGGGAAGUGGGGAGCUAGUUAACUGCGGUUUCACAUUAUCUGAGGCAAAGUUGUAAUAAGUGAGCGACAAGUAAUAUGGAUCGGAGGGAGUACCUAAAUUGGAGUUCAGAAAAUUAUGAGGCAUCUCUACCCAACUAGAGAGGACAGAUUAGAUUAGGCCAGCAUCUUGCUUCAAACACGUUCUCUCUGUGGUUGAAAUUUGGCAAGAUGAAGUUGUUCCUAUGGUUUUUGUCAUGAAAAUUAAAAUGACACCUUUGGAGUGUUGUGCUGACAUGGAUGGUUUAGAUGCUCAAAUUCAAGAGAUCAAAGAAGCUGCUGAACUUCCUGAGCUAUAUGAGGACAUUGGAUUCAGGCCGCCGAAGGGAGUCAUACUGUAUGGGGAACAGGGACAGCUUUACUUGCAAAGGUUUUGUCUUUUAAUCACUUCCAUUUGGCUCUGAAGGCUUGAAAAUCCAUGUUUUGCUGCAUUCAACGCUAAUAAGUUAGUGGCUUAAUAUACAUCUUUUCCUAGAAAGAGUGCAACAUCUUUUUCAUCGUUUCAAAUAUGAUGUUAUUUCCUUCGUUUCAAGACUGAAUGUGAAGUACUUGUGCUUUUCACUAA